GUAUAGCGAUAGCUAAUUGCAUUGGAAAUAUGAUGCAAGAUCGAUUUAUUGAAUAAAAUUCUGGGUAGAAUUAUGAUUAUGACAUUGUCUACCCAUGUGUCUUGACCAAAUUACGUGCCAGCAGUCGCGGUAAUACGUAGAAGACUAGUGUUAUUCAUCUUUAAUAGGUUUAAAGGGUACCUAGACGGUAAAUCAAGCCCUAGACGGGACUAAUUUGCUAGAGUUACUUGUGAGGGGGUUUUAAAGUACUAAUGGUGUAGAGAUGAAAUUUUGUAAUACCAUUUUUCGAAAGAAAAGUAAUGGCACAGGUAUAGGCGAAAGCAUCCCCUUAUGUGAUAACUGACGUUGAAGGACGAAGGCUUUGAGUCGCGAACAGGAUUAGAUACCCUGGUAGUCAAAGCAGAAAAUUAUGAGUGUCAUAGAUUAGAUAUUAAAGUUUAUUCUAUAAAUGAAAGUGUAAGCACUCCACCUCAAGAGUAAUUUGGCAACAUUGGAACUGAAAUCAUUAGACCGUUUCUGAAACCAGUAGUGAAGUAUGUUGUUUAAUUUGAUAAUCCGCAAAAAACCUUACCACAAUUUGAAUAUUUAUAUCCUUGAUAUAAUUACAAGCGUUGCACGGCUGUCUUCAGUUAAUGUCGUGAGAUUUUGGUUAGAUCCAUUAAAUUAACGCAAGCCCUUACUUUAUUUUAAAAUAAAGUCGUUCCCCACUAGAUUGGAUAA
rnacentral:rRNA from 1 species